GCAGUGAAUUCUACAAAGAGGCUAUGGGAAAGAAACCUGGAAAGUACCCUUGGCUGUGUACAUUUGAGUAAAGAGAGCACUAUAAAAUCAAAAACCAAUGAAAUGGUUUCCAGAACACAGAACUAUUAAGCUUAAGAAAAGGACAGAAGGAACUGAAGAGAGAGGAACUGUUUUGGAGCAUCACACUUCCACCUCAGAAGAAAUAAGGAAGGAAGGAGGAGGGUGUUCCCACGGCUCUUCAACCAGGCGGGCUCUUCAGCCUACAUCCCCAUCUCAUCAAGUAAAAGGGAUUUUUCAACUGGACCAACCAGAUGGUUUAACAGUGCACUCCCACACCAUUCAACUACGCAAGGGAGAUACACUUAACAUAUGCAGUCGUAUAACACCUACUAACAUUUUCAAACAUUAAACCUUUAAAAAAGAGUUCUAAAGAAAUAGAAGCUUGAAGUAUCAUCUCUCAAGUAUAUAGACACUACUUCAUGGUGUGGUAAUAUAUGCAUAUAGAAGCUAGUAAACACCUCCAGGAGAUGCAAAAGGAAUUAGAACUGCCACAAGGUGCAAGCAAAACCUUGAGAUGGUGUCAGCUUCCUCAAACCACACAGCUGACCGUGGAGAAAGAGAUCGUUUGUCAAAAGACAGUUGAGGUCCUGUUACCAGGGGGAAAAAUGCCAGAAACAAAAGUUCUGUUUUUCCUCUUCUAAUCCUUCACCCAUCUGAGCUAAAGUCUAGACCUAAGGAGGCUACUAAUUCAGGGAUCGAGUAAUCUGCCAAGCAAGAGUUUAUUCAAGCACAGUUUGAAAUAAAGGUUUCAAAUGCAUAGCCUGUCGAUACUUUGGAAGGAUUCUCAUCAUAACGAGUAUGCAAUUUGCUAUAAAGAAGAAUGCCCAUUACGGACUAAAUGUUUAUGUCCUCCUAAAAUUCAUAUGUUGAAGGCCUAACUCUCAAUGUGAUGAUUAUGUGGAGAUGGUGCCUUUGGGAGGUAACUGGGCUUAGAUGUGGGCGUGAGGGUGGGGCCUCAUGGUGAAAUUUGUGCCCUUGUAAGAAAAACACACCACAGGUUUUCAUUCUUCCUCUGCCACAUGAGGCCACAGUAAGAAUGUGACCAUCUGCUAGCCAGGAGGAAAGUCCUCACUGGAACCCGCCCAUAAUAACACUCCAGUCUGGGGCUUUUCAGCCUCCAGAACCAUGAGAAAUAAAUUUCUAGUGUUUAAGUCA
rnacentral:sRNA from 1 species